UUAAGCUACAAAGAGCGUAGGGUGAAUAGCUAGGCACCAGGAGCCGAUGAAGGACGUGAUAAGCUGCGAAAAGCUUUGGGUAGGAGCAAAUAUCCUUAGAUCCAGAGAUAUCCGAAUGAGGGAACUCACUUAAGGCAAAAAACUUAAGUAUCCAUACAUGAGUAAAGUAGUGUAUGAGAGGGGAACGUUGGGAACUGAAACAUCUUAGUACCAACAGGAAGAGAAAGAAAACAAUCGAUUCCUAGAGUAGUGGCGAGCGAAAUAGGAAGAGCCUAAACCAGAAGUAGUAAUACAUCUGGGGUUCGGACCACGAUAUACUAUCAACAAUUCUAAUAGAAAUGUUUUGGGAAAGCAUACCAUAGAAGGUGAAAGUCCGGUAUAUGAAAGGAAAGUUGAGGUUAGUGGAUUCCAGAGUAGUACGAGACACGAGAAAUCUCGUAUGAAUGAGCGGGGACCAUCCCGUAAGGCUAAAUACUACUUGGUGACCGAUAGUGAACUAGUACCGUGAGGGAAAGGUGAAAAGAACCCCGGGAGGGGAGUGAAAUAGAACAUGAAACCCUAUGUUUACAAGCAGACAAAGCACUUUAUACGUGCGAUGUCGUACUUUUUGUAGAACGGUCCAGCGAGUUAUUGUAUAUGGCAAGGUUAAGUACUAUGUAAGGUAUGGAGCCGAAGCGAAAGCGAGUCUGAAAAGGGCGACUUAAGUCAUAUAUAAUAGACCCGAAACUGAGUGACCUAUCCAUGAGCAGGAUGAAGCAAGAGUAAAAUCUUGUGGAGGUCCGAACUGAUUGUCGUUAAAAAGGCACCGGAUGACUUGUGGAUAGCGGAGAAAUUCCAAUCGAACUCAGAGAUAGCUGGUUCUCCUCGAAAUAGCUUUAGGGCUAGCCUUGAGGUCAAGAUAUAUGGGGGUAGAGCACUGAAUGAGGUAGGGGCCUAACCAGGUUACCAAACUCUAUCAAACUCCGAAUACCAUAUAUUAAUACUCAGGAGUCAGACUGCGGGAGCUAAGUUCCGUGGUCAAAAGGAAAACAGUCCAGAUCGUCAAUUAAGGUCCCAAAGAUAUAGCUAAGUGGAAAACGAUGUGAUUUUGCAUAAACAACCAGGAUGUUGGCUCAGAAGCAGCCAUUCAUUUAAAGAGUGCGUAAUAGCUCACUGGUCGAGUGAAGUUGCGCGGAAAAUUACCGGGGCUAAGCUAUACACCGAAAUUGCGGAUUUAUACUUGAAAGACAGUAUAAGUGGUAGAGGAGCAUUCUGUUGUAGGAUGAAGCAUGACCGUAAGGACAUGUGGACGAAGCAGAAGAGAGAAUGCUGGAAUAAGUAGCGAGAGGAUGGUGAGAAUCCAUCCCGUCGAAAGUCUAAGGUUUCCUAGGGAAGGUUCGUCCGCCUAGGGUAAGUCGGGACCUAAGGAGAGGCCGAAAGGCGUAUCUGAUGGACAGCAGGUUGAAAUUCCUGCACCACGUAUAUACUUAAAAGAUGCAAGGGACGCAGAAGUGAAAGAUAACCAUGGAAGAGGAAAAACAUGGCCCGCAAGGGGGAGUGAAAAUUAUAAGUAACGAAGUAUCAAGAAGCACGCUGACGAGAAAAGCUUGUAGAUAUUGUAUAUAAGUGCCCGUACCGCAAACCGACACAGGUAGAUGAGGAGAGGAUCCUAAGACGAGCGGGAGAAGCAUUGUUAAGGAACUCGGCAAAUUAACCCCGUAACUUCGGAAUAAGGGGUGCUGAUGUAACAGUCAGUCGCAGAGAAAAGGCCCAAGCAACUGUUUAACAAAAACAUAGGUUUCUGCUAAAUCGAAAGAUGAAGUAUAGGAGCUGACGCCUGCCCAGUGCUGGAAGGUUAAGGGGAAAGGUUAGAUUAUAUCAAAGCUUUGAACUGAAGCCCCAGUGAACGGCGGCCGUAACUAUAACGGUCCUAAGGUAGCGAAAUUCCUUGUCAGGUAAG
rnacentral:rRNA from 1 species